AAAAAUGUUUUGACUGAUAAGAAAAUUAUCUGUGAUAAUUGUUAAGGGUUAGGCAGAGUUUAACUGAACUUAAACUCGAGUAUUGUCCGACUAGAUCGUCGGGAUGAUAGAAUUGUGUCAGUUUUAAGUCAGACUGAAAUAGUUUGACCUGAUACUAAGUCUUAUGUGCUGUAUAGACUGAUAGGGUUAUGUGUUAUGUGUUUAGGUUAUUCUGUGUAUAUAAAUAUAACAGUAUUAUAUUGUGAUGAUAUUAUUCUAAUAUUGGAGAUCUAUAUUAUUAAUAUUAGGUUUUCGGAUAAAG
rnacentral:lncRNA from 1 species